UACAGAGGUCUCAAGCGUUGUUCGGAUUCAUUGGGCGUAAAGGGUGCGUAGGUGGCGCCAUAAGUCGGGUGUGAAAUCUCGGGGCUUAACUCCGAAACUGCAUUCGAUACUGUGGUGCUUGAGGACUGGAGAGGAGACUGGAAUUCAUGGUGUAGCAGUGAAAUGCGUAGAGAUCAUGAGGAAGACCAGUGGCGAGGGCGGGUCUCUGGACAGUUCCUGACACUGAGGCACGAAGGCCAGGGGAGCAAACGGG
rnacentral:rRNA from 1 species